rnacentral:rRNA from 1 species
UACGGAGGGGGCGAGCGUUGUUCGGAGUCACUGGGCGUAAAGCGCACGUAGGCGGUGCGGUAAGUCUGGGGUUAAAGGCUACGGCUCAACCGUAGUAAGGCCUCAGAUACUAUCGUGCUAGAGUGCCGGAGAGGGUAGCGGAAUUCCCUGUGUAGCGGUGAAAUGCGUAGAUAUAUGGAGGAACACCGGUGGCGACAGCGGCUCUCUGGACUGUAACUGACACUGAGGCUCGAAAGCGUGGGUAGCAAACAGG